CCUACGGGAGGCAGCAGUGGGGAAUUUUGGACAAUGGGGGCAACCCUGAUCCAGCAAUGCCGCGUGAGUGAAGAAGGCCUUCGGGUUGUAAAGCUCUUUUGUCAGGAACGAAACGCGCUGAGCUAAUACCUCGGCGUAAUGACGGUACCUGAAGAAUAAGCACCGGCUAACUACGUGCCAGCAGCCGCGGUAAUACGUAGGGUGCGAGCGUUAAUCGGAAUUACUGGGCGUAAAGCGUGCGCAGGCGGUUGUGCAAGACAGAUGUGAAAUCCCCGGGCUUAACCUGGGAAUUGCAUUUGUGACUGCACGGCUAGAGUGUGUCAGAGGGAGGUAGAAUUCCACGUGUAGCAGUGAAAUGCGUAGAUAUGUGGAGGAAUACCGAUGGCGAAGGCAGCCUCCUGGGAUAACACUGACGCUCAUGCACGAAAGCGUGGGGAGCA
rnacentral:rRNA from 1 species